rnacentral:rRNA from 1 species
UACGUAGGGCGCGAGCGUUGUCCGGAUUUAUUGGGCGUAAAGAGCUCGUAGGCGGCUUGUCGCGUCGUCCGUGAAAACUUGGGGCUCAACCCCAAGCUUGCGGUCGAUACGGGCAGGCUCGAGUUCGGUAGGGGAGACUGGAAUUCCUGGUGUAGCGGUGAAAUGCGCAGAUAUCAGGAGGAACACCGGUGGCGAAGGCGGGUCUCUGGGCCGAUACUGACGCUGAGGAGCGAAAGCGUGGGGAGCGAACAGG